CACUAUGACGCUACGGCAAAUUUACCGUAGCGUAUUGAUUUGCAUCCGGAGUGCCAAACGUAGUGGUCCGUACUUAAUACGCUACGGCAAACCACUCCGUAUAGUGUCAGGCUAUAGUCAUAAACGUAGUGAUUUUUAACGGAGCGACAGCGUAGCGUAUUAGUGUAAGUGUACACGGUACCUUAAUACGCUACGGCAAACCACUCCGUUAUAGUGUAAACACAAUACUAUAAACGUAGUGAAU